rnacentral:rRNA from 1 species
GCGAACGGGGUGGAGGGGGGGGGGGUGGUACGUAGGGUGGGGGUGUUAAGUGGAAGUACGGGGGGUAGAGCGUGCGAAGGCGGUUAGGGAAGGCAGAGGGGAAAUCCCCGGGCGCAACCGGGGAACUGCGUUUGGGACUGCAUAACUAGAGGACGGCAGAGGGAGGUGGAAUUCCACGUGUAGCAGUGAAAUGCGGAGAGAUGUGGAGGAACACCGAUGGCGAAGGCAGCCUCCUGGGCCAGUACUGACGCUCAUGCACGAAAGCGUGGGGAGCAAACAGGAUUAGAAACCCGGGUAGUC